rnacentral:lncRNA from 1 species
GAUACAAUGAUGAUAACAUAGUUCAGCAGACUAACGCUGAUGAGCAAUAUUAAGUCUUUCGCUCCUAUCUGAUGUAUCUGGCGGUAACAUUCUAGUUUAUGCCCCGAAAAGGGGAAUAUAGCCAUUCUAUAAUGUUUGGAGAUUUUGGAUUACUCCUAAUUGUAUGCAAGUUGUCUUACUGUGUAUUGUCCCUUAAUUUCAGGACUCAGAAUUCAUGAUUGAAGAAAUGCAGGUUAGUUUAAACUUUGAAGGAAAUUUUUAAGGUGGCAAAAGGUUUUGGUGGCAUAUACACCUUAAUCUGUAGAUGGGAGUGAUUAGCUGUUUAAAAGUUAAAAUGUGACUGAGAAGGAAAUUGAGUAGGGCAAAUUUUAAAUGGGUAUUAUUUUUCAUCUUCAAACAGGCAGACCUGUUAUCCUAAACUAGGGUUUUUAAUGACCACAACAAGCAAGCAUGCAGCUUACUGCUUGAAAGGGUCUUGCCUCACCCAAGCUAGAGUGCAGUGGCCUUUGAAGCUUACUACAGCCUCAAACUUCUGGGCUCAAGUGAUCCUCAGCCUCCCAGUGGUCUUUGUAGACUGCCUGAUGGAGUCUCAUGGCACAAGAAGAUUAAAACAGUGUCUCCAAUUUUAAUAAAUUUUUGCAAU